ACACAUGCAAGUCGAACGAGAAUCUACUGAAAGAGUUUUCGGACAAUGGAUGUAGAGGAAAGUGGCGGACGGGUGAGUAACGCGUGAGGAACCUGCCUUGAAGAGGGGGACAACAGUUGGAAACGACUGCUAAUACCGCAUGACGCAUAGAGGUCGCAUGAUCUUUAUGCCAAAGAUUUAUCGCUUCAAGAUGGCCUCGCGUCUGAUUAGCUGGUUGGCGGGGUAACGGCCCACCAAGGCGACGAUCAGUAGCCGGACUGAGAGGUUGAACGGCCACAUUGGGACUGAGAUACGGCCCAGACUCCUACGGGAGGCAGCAGUGGGGAAUAUUGGGCAAUGGGCGCAAGCCUGACCCAGCAACGCCGCGUGAAGGAAGAAGGCUUUCGGGUUGUAAACUUCUUUUAAGAGGGAAGAGCAGAAGACGGUACCUCUAGAAUAAGCCACGGCUAACUACGUGCCAGCAGCCGCGGUAAUACGUAGGUGGCAAGCGUUGUCCGGAUUUACUGGGUGUAAAGGGCGUGCAGCCGGGUCUGCAAGUCAGAUGUGAAAUCCAUGGGCUCAACCCAUGAACUGCAUUUGAAACUGUAGAUCUUGAGUGUCGGAGGGGCAAUCGGAAUUCCUAGUGUAGCGGUGAAAUGCGUAGAUAUUAGGAGGAACACCAGUGGCGAAGGCGGAUUGCUGGACGAUAACUGACGGUGAGGCGCGAAAGUGUGGGGAGCAAACAGGAUUAGAUACCCUGGUAGUCCACACUGUAAACGAUGAAUACUAGGUGUGCGGGGACUGACCCCUUGCGUGCCGCAGUAAACACAAUAAGUAUUCCACCUGGGGAGUACGAUCGCAAGGUUGAAACUCAAAGGAAUUGACGGGGGCCCGCACAAGCGGUGGAUUAUGUGG
rnacentral:rRNA from 1 species